ensembl:processed_transcript AV026068 expressed sequence AV026068
GCCGAGGUCCUCUUCUAGGAUUGGUUGUCCACUCAUAACCAUAAGAUAAUUAAAACGGGGGGGGGGGCAGGGGAAAAAAAAAACCCUUUUAUCAGCCAUAGGUUAAUGCAAGUGUUUAACAGAUGCUUCGCUAUUAAAAUAUUUCCCCCCAAUACUGAAGAAUCUUAAACCAGCAACCCUAACAGAGAUUGCGAAGAUUUUCAAAGUGGGGCACCUCGAUUUCUCGAAUCUGUGGUGUGGCGAAUAUCCGUGUUCCUCCUGCUUAACUAGCCUGUUUGAAGGCACAGUUCAUUCUCGAGCAAUUCGUCACCUCCUGGGGGUCUUCUCUUCCCGUCUACAGGAGAGUGUGACUUCAGAAAGAACUUCGGAUUGGCCAAGGCAGGUCUGAUUCUAUUUAUUCUAAAGACAGAGUUGGAGAUGGGCUACCAUUGGUGUUGAUUGAGAUGACAAGCAGUCACCUGAGCCCAUACAGCUGGGUUCACAGAUGUGGCUAGUCUUGCUAGCCAGCUCGCACUGUGGACAUUCUAGGGAACUGACUGCAGUCCUCAUGCUUGGAGUCAAACACUUUAACCACUGCACACGUUUAUGUAAUAGGAUUGACAUAUGAGAAUCAGAGAAAUGAAUGAAAGAUUAGAGUGGGAGAAAGUGCUUGCUGCCAAGCUUGAUGACCUAAAUUGAAUACCUGGAACCUACACGACAGAAAGAGAGAGCUGACUGCUGAAAGAUGUCCUCAGAUCUUCACAUGUGCACAGUGGCACCUAUCCAACCAUGCACAUAGUAUAUUAAAAAUUAUUUUUUAAAAAA